GCAAGUCGAACGAGAAGCUUCUUCGGAAGUGGACAGUGGCAGACGGGUGAGUAACGCGUGGGGAUCUGCCCAGAGGUUCGGAACAACCAUUGGAAACGAUGGCUAAUACCGGAUAAGCCCCUAGGGGGAAAGAUUUAUUGCCUUUGGAUGAACCCGCGUAAGAUUAGCUAGUUGGUGAGGUAAUGGCUCACCAAGGCAACGAUCGGUAGCUGGUCUGAGAGGAUGAUC
rnacentral:rRNA from 1 species